rnacentral:rRNA from 1 species
GACUGAGGGGGGCUGCUCCUAGUACGAGAGGACCGGAGUGGACGCAUCACUGGUGUUCGGGUUGUCAUGCCAAUGGCACUGCCCGGUAGCUAAAUGCGGAAGAGAUAAGUGCUGAAAGCAUCUAAGCACGAAACUUGCCCCGAGAUGAGUCUUCCCUGAGACUUUGAGUCUCCUGAAGGAACGUUGAAGACGACGACGUUGAUAGGCCGGGUGUGUAAGCGCAGCGAUGCGUUGAGCUAACCGGUACUAAUGAACCGUGAGGCUUAACCUUACAACGCCGAAGCUGUU